rnacentral:rRNA from 1 species
UACGUAGGGUGCAAGCGUUAAUCGGAAUUACUGGGCGUAAAGCGUGCGCAGGCGGUUGUGCAAGACAGAUGUGAAAUCCCCGGGCUCAACCUGGGAACUGCAUUUGUGACUGCACGGCUGGAGUGCGGCAGAGGGGGAUGGAAUUCCGCGUGUAGCAGUGAAAUGCGUAGAUAUGCGGAGGAACACCAAUGGCGAAGGCAAUCCCCUGGGCCUGCACUGACGCUCAUGCACGAAAGCGUGGGGAGCAAACAGG